rnacentral:tRNA from 1 species
AGGCCCAUGGUGUAAGAAACCGCACUCAGGACUUUGAAUCCUGCAAUCUGAGUUCAAAUCUCAGUGGAACCA